ensembl:ncRNA K01B6.8 ncRNA
UUUUCAAUAUCUCAUUUGUCAUAUUCAUGUGCACAAUGCGCGCGGCGCGUAAUGCGAAACAUGGGCUUACCGCCGGAUUACUACCAUCUUG